GAUGAACGCUGGCGGCGUGCCUAAUACAUGCAAGUCGAGCGAACGGACGAGAAGCUUGCUUCUCUGAUGUUAGCGGCGGACGGGUGAGUAACACGUGGAUAACCUACCUAUAAGACUGGGAUAACUUCGGGAAACCGUAGCUAAUACCGGAUAAUAUUUUGAACCGCAUGGUUCAAAAGUGAAAGACGGUCUUGCUGUCACUUAUAGAUGGAUCCGCGCUGCAUUAGCUAGUUGGUAAGGUAACGGCUUACCAAGGCAACGAUGCAUAGCCGACCGGAGAGGGUGAUCGGCCACACUGGAACUGAGACACGGUCCAGAGUCCUACGGGAGGCAGCAGUAGGGAAUCUUCCGCAAUGGGCGAAAGCCUGACGGAACAACGCCGCGUGAGUGAUGAAGGUCUUCGGAUCGUAAAACUCUGUUAUUAGGGAAGAACAUAUGUGUAAGUAACUGUGCACAUCUUGACGGUACCUAAUCAGAAAGCCACGGCUAACUACGUG
rnacentral:rRNA from 1 species